rnacentral:rRNA from 1 species
AGGCAGCAGUGAGGAAUAUUGGUCAAUGGAGGCAACUCUGAACCAGCCAUGCCGCGUGAAGGAUGACGGCCCUAUGGGUUGUAAACUUCUUUUAUAUAGGAAGAAACUUAUCUACGUGUAGAUAACUGACGGUACCAUACGAAUAAGGAUCGGCUAACUCCGUGCCAGCAGCCGCGGUAAUACGGAGGAUCCAAGCGUUAUCCGGAUUCAUUGGGUUUAAAGGGUCCGUAGGCGGAUUUUUAAGUCAGUGGUGAAAGCCGGCAGCUCAACUGUCGAACUGCCAUUGAUACUGGAAAUCUUGAGUACAAAUGAAGUAGGCGGAAUGAGUCAUGUAGCGGUGAAAUGCAUAGAUAUGACUCAGAACACCGAUUGCGAAGGCAGCUUACUAACAUGUAACUGACGCUGAGGGACGAAAGCGUGGGGAGCGGACAGGAUUAGAUACCCUGGUAGUCCACGCCGUAAACGAUCAUCACUCGCUGUUGGCGAUAUACUGUCAGCGGCCAAGCGAAAGUA